GCUCUCCUGGCUGUUAAAUGUGGGACCUCCAGAGUGGUCCUGCCCGUUGUUUCUCACACUGCUACCUCUAAGAAGAGUCUGGUUCUGUGUUCUUUACACCUUCCCAUCAGCUUCUCAUCUCCAUUAGACACAGAUGGAUAAUGCCAUUUCAGGUGCCCUAAGGCAAUGGAAGCUUUCAUACAGAGUUGAGAAGUGUGACACAGGUCUUUAGGGCCGUAUCUGAUCGUCUACACCAGCAACUGGAUACUAUACAGAGUACCCUAAGGAAAUGUCACACCUUCAUGCUGACAACUGAACCAUGCCCUCUGUUUCUUUAUCUAUAGCAAGAUUCUCCAUCUGAAGCUAACUUGGACAUGAAUCUGUAAGCUCUUCCCAUGCUCCAGUGGCUGGAAACUCUCCUGUCAAAACCACCAUAGAAUUUUAAAAUGGCCUGGGUUGAAAAGGACAGUAAAGAUCAUCUAGUUCCAACCCCCAAACCAUGGCAAGGGACACCUUCCACUAGGCCAGGUUGUUCAGAGUACCAUCCAACCUGGCCUUGAACAUCUCCAAGGAUGGGGCAUCCGCAACUUCUCUGGGCAGCCUGUUCCAGUGCUUCACCACUCUGUCCACGUCCUUCCUGAAACUGCUGGGAUGCUAGAAGUCACUGACUCUAAGCUGUGUGUAAGCAGAAUCAUAUGGGAGAUGAGUCUUCAGCAUGCAUUCAUUGCUGGCCUGUGGAUACCCUUAAGUCAGGCAUUCAGUGAAAGCUUCCUGCUUCCAGGAGUUGGGAGGCAAAAGAAACUGCAAAAAACAACAUUCUGCUCCUUUGAAAUCUGGAUGGGUGAUGUGCAUAAAUAUAUACGUAUGUAUACACAUAUACAUAUACUUACAUAUAUACCUAUACACAGUUGUUUUCAUAAAGAAGAGAAGGUACCGUGAAAAACCUUGUCACAAGCCGUUAUGGGUCAGGUGAUCACAAGAAGAAAAUUGCAUAAUUCAUUGACAUAUAUUGUACAAUCCAUUUACUAAAUAGAAUGGUUCUAGCUGGGUAUACAGCAAUUUCUAGUCUAAGGUCUUUCUCUACAACAGAGAAAAACUUCAGAACUACAUCAGUGUUGCCCCUCUGGUCCACUUAUAUCAAGAACCCAGGGGAAUCAGACGUGGGCUCUGACUGCAUCCUAUCUGGGCUUGCAGCUCCCAUGUGUAACAGUUCCAACCCAGACUUAGUCCUCUGCAAUGUCUGAUAUCCAGGACCAUGGGUGCAUGUCUUACCCCAGAGGGGCUCCUGCCUUCACUAUUUAUUCCUUUCUGAAUUUUUAGCAUAAACAGCCUGACUUCAUUAUGAAUACAGUCUUAGGCCAGAUCACUUUCAUUUCUCUGCACUGAAGACCAAUUAGCAUUCAUCACCAAGGUUUCUAUCACCUUCUGGUCUCCAGCCUCAAAUCUGUUAAGAAAUUUUGCAGCUAGUCUCGUUUGCUAGAGCUGGACAAAUAUCUCACUUGCCUUAGCUUUCAGGUUGGCAUUAGCUUGUGAAAGUAUUGAAUAAAUUAUUGAAGUUCUAUGGAAAUGAAAAUCAAAAGUUGCCAGUUUCUAUUGUCACUUCUGGCAUAUGAGUAUUCCUUUGUUGUUCAUCUUGUAUUGCUGAUUUACUGUUCAUGAUCAGAAGAAAUGUCUAUGUUGGCAGUUAAAUAUAGGUUUCUGGAUUAACAUAGAACAAACAAACAUGAUAGAAAAGUAUGUUUCUGUUUUAAGAUUUCAUCUGCAUAUCUUAUACAUGUACAAUGCAGAAUUAUUAGUACCAAUAAGUUAUGCUUACAGAGAAAAUAGUAGUAAUGGAGAAAAAUCUUAAAUAUUCAAUAACAUGUUUCUUCCCAUUUAGAAAAAUGUCAAUGCAAGCAACUCAGCUGUUUGCUAAAAAUAAAAUAGGGGGACUAGAUCAUCAAGAAUAUGCAUACUUUCUAUCACAGAAGCUACCAUUUUGAUAUUAAGGAGCCAGACUAGUCCUUUAUAAAGAUAAUGCGUUUCUAAACUGAUAGCUGUUCUUACACUAUGGUACACUAUAUUCACAGGAAGAUUUAGCAUUACUAGAAAAACAACACUCAAAACCGUCAGACUUUUAGCAGUACUCUCUUUAUAGUGCAUUGAGCCAUGUCUCUGGAAUUUGGCAAAAGUUUAAAUGCAUGUUACUGCUAUCUGUAAUGUUCCAGGAACUGCUUGGAAAUAACAGGUGACAUCUUGGGGACAGCAACAAUAAAUAAACUAGCGUAAAAUCAUUAUGCUGGUUCCUGUGUGAUGACAUUUUCAACAAAAAACAGGGGUUUAUUUUCUUGUUUGUUUUACUGAGAUAAACUUGUUUGCACACAGCCUUUCCAAAUACCAAACAAUCACUAAAUAAUGAAAAUUAAAGUUAUUGAGAUUGUUUAUAAAACAUUAUUGUUAGCCUCCUUUACAUAGUAUUUUAAUGUGAGUUGUAGCAUACCUUUAGUGCAAAAAGAAGUGUUUAACAUAUUGUUCCUCUUAGGGAAAAAAAACCAAACUCAACAAAACCAACCUUAUAUGUUUCCUUAAUCAUUGUUAAACUUAUUUUCUGCUUUUCACAUAUUUUACUAUAGUUAGUUUAUACCCAAGCUGAUACAGCUAUGAAAAACCCAAAGAUUGGUAAAACAAUUUUGAACAGUUUCUUCUACCUUAGUUGCUGCUCUGUAAACAUUUAAAUAAUAGUGAUAUACCAGUGAAUUAAAAUAAGUAUCUGCCUCAUUCUUAAUUUUUUCUUUUCUGUUUAUCAUCUGUUCUUGUUCAUCCUGUCAUUGUCAGCCUUUUUUUACACUGCAAGUGUAAAUAAUGGAAAGAAAUAUGAUUACUACAUCAAGGUUAGUCUGACCAGAUAGAGGCAUCUACUCAGAAGAGAUGAUGUCAUGGUCUAGACAUGCCAGUUUAUGACCAUUACCUAAAUAGAGGAGCAGGGUGACUAGCUCAGAUAUGUGUUGGGGUAAGACAAUUUUCAUAGAGUACGUCUUUAUCUUGAAGGAAAUAGAGGUAAUUUUAUGGUUAGCUUUAUGUGCCUGAAAAUAAAGACUAUUUUUGGCAAAAUAAGAAACAAAAUAAGGAACUAUUACUCAAAUUUGAUAGGCAUAAACACUGAUUAAGGAAAAUCUAAGGACAGAUUCAAAGAAGAUGCAUCUCACCUUAUUAAAAAUCAGAAAAAAAUAAAGACAGUAGUAGAAGCUACAGCUUUACCUUUUCCCUACCCUCCUUCUGUUUUUCCUUUUCUGCAGCUUCUGUUAGAGAGCUUUUCUGAGCACAGGGAACGAAGCAGUGAGAGAUAUUUUCCAUUAUAAAGAACCUGCAACACAAAUCAAUGCCAUGUUAAUGGUGGUGGAUGAAAAGACACAUUCCUACUACAGCCUCAAUUUACAAUUGUUCGUGGUUUGCAUUAGACACUUCAGGCACUGUAGCACAAUUUUCAUGAAUACCGUGGGUGGGAAACCAUGUUUCAGGCUCACUGGUUUCAAAGCUUGGUUGCAAGUAUAAAAAUAGCAUCAUAGAGUUGAGUUCCAUCAAUGCCUAUCUGAACAGACAAACUCCAAGGCUUUUAUGCUUAUCAUUUGCUACCUACCUAUUCAAAAUGCUCCUUGAACCAUAAACAGUAUAAAUAAACCUAGUGAAAAAUGGAUUGACUGCAAUUCUAGGGGGAAAGGGAAAAGUUCUCUGUAAGGAAGCCCCUGAACAUCUCACAGGUUAAGGUGAAACAAAAUCAUUCACUUAGGUAUAUACUUUCAUGUCAUACCCUGUGGUGUUAUGAAAGCUGGAAAAAACACUCUUCUUCUGUCUUAAAAAGCUAUUCUUUACUAAGAUUUCAUUACUAAAUAACAUUUUUAGAAUGCCUUAAGUGGUCUAAGUACUUUUGAAAUGUUUUUGUCUGAAAAACAUACCUGCAUGAACCAAAAUGUUACAGCAACAUGUGGACACUACAGGAAGUAGGGUCAAUUCUGAGUCCUACUUGUUUUCUGCACAUCCAAACUCCAUAAAAAUAAGAAAACUGAGUUUUAUAAUUUUAUAAAAGAAAUGUGUGUUUUUCUUAAACUAAUAGCAAUGUGUUUCUGUUCACAAAAAGCUUUAAAAUUCAUUUUCCUUGAAGGUAAAAAUAUGAAAAUAUAUUGUCAUCAAGAUAAAAAAUUAAACUUAUCCAGUCCAAUUUUUUAAUUUAAAGUAUCAUCAGAUUUUGAAAAUUUUCAUGUUUUAUUUUUUCACUCUGGCACAGGAUCACUACAGAAAACAUUUAGAAUCCUCAGAAACAGUGAGAAAAAAAUAUUUUUUAUACACCACUGAAAAUGAAUUUUUUUGGGUUUGCUGUCUGAAUGGAAAUAUACAUUCAGAAGUAUGUCAUAGUGUUAAGAUCCAGUUAGUGAGAGAUGCCUCUGCCUGAAUUAAGGUGCAAAAGAGACCAUAUACCAAAGUAAACAAUACAGAUUUUGUUCAACAAUAAAAUGUGAGGUAGAGAGACAGAAGGAAACAGAAGAAAGAGAAGAGAAAUAGUGAGAGAGAUACACAUCAAGCAGAAGAUACUCACCGUCUGUGGAUCCUGUGGUUUCCCACUGGUCCUUCUUCUCCCUGGGCUUCUCUGUUGUGGGGGUCCCAAAGUAAUUAAAAAUUUUUCACUAUUCGUACAUUUUAGCAAACGAAGGAAUUAAUGAUCAAUGGAUGCACAGUCUCUCUUAUUCUAUUGGUUAAAUUAUUGCCUUGCUUCUAAGGCUAAUUAGUCCAUAUGCUUGAUCUUUGUUUUCUUUUGAGUUGGUGGGUUUCUCGGGUCGGUAAGUUGCAAGUCAGUGGGUUGUGAUCUCCCCCUGCUGAAAUUGCCUUAUACUCAGCCCUAGAUGAUUUCAGCACAGUUGCUUCUGUUGUGGGCCAUAAAUUCUGCAUUCUUUGUGGCCACUAUCAGUAAUACAUUCUUCUCCCCCAGCUUUGUUAACUUCCUCCUAGGUAGGAGAUUACACCUGGACAAUAGUACCACCUUUAUCUUAAGUUCCCACUGUGGUGGCUUAUUUUACAGUCCAAGUUCCAGGCAUCCACAGAGGCACAUCCAUGGUGGGCUUCAGUGGUUGUUGGUUAUUACAAAUGCCAUCUAUCCAAUAACUUGAGGUGAUCUUAGUUUGACCUGUGAUAUGUGUAUGCACAGUUGCUUCUUUAUACAGUUUGCCACAGUGGGAAUUUUUUAUCUGGAUGCUGUGAUAGACUGCAAUGUUGUUAAUAUCUUAAAUGUCAAAUUCAUAGAAAGACUUUUUGUCAAACUGCAAAGAAGCAACUACCUGUCUGGGACCACUGAAGCAUCCACCUCCCAAAUAUGCAUCCUAACUGGAAUUUGGACUGUGACUGGGAACUUGAGAUAAGACUAUUGUCAAAUUAAAUCAGGUCUAAGGAGAGGUAAACAAGGCUCAGAAGGUGGUGGAGAAGGGUUUGGGUGUGCAAUGGCAAAAUCUCUACACACAAACCAAAG